UUCCCUUAUUGUCUAUUUUUUUUUCUUUUUUUUUUUUAAGAUUUAUUUAUUUAUUUGAAAGACAGAGUUACAGAGAGUGGUAGAGCCAGAAAGAGAGGUCUUCCAUCUGCUGGUUCACUCCCCAACUGGCUGCAAUGGCCAAAGCUGUGCCAAUCUGAAGUCAGGAGCCAGGAGCUUCUUCCGGGUCUCCCACAUGAAUGCAGGGGCCCAAGGACUCGGGCCACGCUACACUGCCUUUCUAGGCCACAGCCACAGCAGAAGACUGGAUGGGAAGUGGAGCAGCCGGGACUCGAACUGGCAUCCAUAUGGGAUGCCCGUACUUCAGGCAGGGGUUUUAACCCGCUGCACCACAGUGCCGGCCCCUCCUGUUGUCUGUUUUCAAGCGUUCGCAGACUCUGGGGAGGUGACUCCUAUGCGAAUCCUCGUCGUCAGCGUUGCACACGGGUACAGAGGCGGAAUCCCAAGUGAGCUCCACGUCCUGCAAACAGCCUCCUGAGAAAGACCAGAAAUGCAAUCCAGGAGCGGAGAAGAAAUACUUUAAACUCCCUUCCUUUAGCCUUUCCACUGACGGGGACUCGAGCUGCUGAGAACCGCGGUGGCGGCCGGGGAGCCCCCGCCAGUCAGCGAAGCGCUCUCCCCUAGCCCCGCCCACCAGCGCCUCCGGCCAAUGGGAGUCGGCUGGACCGGGAGCGCGGCCAAUGGGAGGGCCGAGGGAGGAGCUCUGCCUUUAAGAAGCAGCGGCCCGCGAGGCAGAAGCUCAGCAGCAGGCAGAGAGCAGGUGUGCAUUGGUCUUCGCCAGGAUGUCUCUGCAGGCUGAUUUUGACAAGGCCACCAAAGAGCCUGUCCAGCAAUGUUAGACUUAAAAGGCAAGGCCAAGUGGGAAGCAUGGAGCCUCCAAAAAGGUGUUUAAUUCUUUAACAAGUCCAAAACAAGGCUUCUCAACCUCCCCGUGCAGCAGUCCCUGAGAUAACCUGCUUGUGUCUUUCUAGGAUUGUCGAAGGACGAUGCCAUGAGUGCCUACAUUUCUAAAGCUAAUGAGCUGAUUGAAAAAUACGGGGUUUAGAAUUCUUAGAAUGCAGCAGAUGAGAAAUUUUUCCUCCUGGAGCCUUCAUGGCAAAGGUACCAUAACCUAACAUUGAGUGUGGAAAAUGUUUACUUUCACUAUUAGCAUGAUUUAUAAUAUUUAACUAGGAAUAUAUUAUAACUGCAUAGCUGAUUAAAUCUUACUUGAUUAAACCAGGUGAGACUUGAGUUAUUUUUAAAAAUUAUUACUCUGAUGGAACGUGCACAGAAACUUUAACCAUUGUUUGUUCUUGUGGUUUAUCUCUGCUACAGUGAGUUGGUGUCACUGGUGUAAUAAAUGCAGCUUGUUAAGAAUCA